ACGAAGCAGUACCGUAAGGAGCUGUGGACUGCAUGGAAGAGAGAAUGCCGGAAUGAGUAGCGAGAUAGAGGUGGGAAUCCUCUAGGCCGAAUAUCCAAGGUUUCCAGGGUAAAGCUGAUCUGCCCUGGGUGAGUCGGGACCUAAGGUGAGGGCGAGAGCCGUAGCCGAUGGACAACAGGUUGAUAUUCCUGUACUGCAGUAUGACAGAACUGUGGGGACACGUAAGGAGAGCGGGAGCCGGGAAUGGAAAGCCCGGUACAAGCGAGGUACCAGUAUGGUAGGAAAAUCCGCCAUGCAAUGGGAAGACGUGAUGUGGAGCGAAGAUUAGUAGCGAAGCCCGUGAGCCAUGCGUCAAGAAAAGCCGCUAUCGUUUAUAUUGUACCCGUACCGUAAACCGACACAGGUGGAUGAGGAGAGAAUCCUAAGGCCGGCGGAAGAAGUAUUGCCAAGGAACUCGGCAAAAUGGCCCCGUAACUUAGGGAGAAGGGGUGCCUGCGAGAGCAGGCCGCAGAGAAUAGGCUCAAGCAACUGUUUAGCAAAAACACAGGUCUAUGCGAAACCGAAAGGUGAGGUAUAUGGGCUGACGCCUGCCCGGUGCUGGAAGGUUAAGAGGAGAGGUUAGACGCAAGUCGAAGCUUUGAAUUUAAGCCCCAGUAAACGGCGGCCGUAACUAUAACGGUCCUAAGGUAGCGAAAUUCCUUGUCGGGUAAGUUCCGACCCGCACGAAAGGCGUAAUGAUUUGAGCGCUGUCUCGGCAAUACAUCCGGUGAAAUUGAAGUGCCAGUGAAGAUGCUGGCUACCCGCGCCAGGACGGAAAGACCCCAUGGAGCUUUACUCCAGUUUGGCACUGGGGUCCGGUGUUGCAUGUACAGGAUAGGUGGGAGGCUGAGAAACGGUAACGUCAGUUGCCGCGGAGCCGCUGUUGGGAUACCACCCUUGUGAUAUUGGGCUUCUAACCAGCCGCCGUGAUCCGGCGGUGGGACAAUGCCAGGCGGGGAGUUUGACUGGGGCGGUCGCCUCCGAAAGGGUAUCGGAGGCGCCCAAAGGUUCCCUCAGAAUGGACGGAAACCAUUCGAAGAGUGCAAAGGCAGAAGGG
rnacentral:rRNA from 1 species